UUGUGCGACAUGCGAUUGCCUCAGGCCGUUUCUCAAAACCAAGUUUGCAAACUUCGGACUCGCAUCCUUGGUAGUUAUGACUUGGCAAGUUCGACUCAGGAGAACGAGCUCCCGUGGACGGGAGAACACAAGUCCGGUGAUUCUGCAAAUGGAACAGCAGCGUUCUUGAUAACGUCACUCAGCUCGCUCUGGCUUCUCCGGUUAUCUCUUUAUGUAUAUUUUAGCCAACAAUAAAACGAAAUUUGUUAUAAAACACCACUCUGCCUCUUUUCGUUUUAUUUAAAAAAAAACAAACAAAAACAUAUUAAUAGUCUCAGGCAACCAGUGAUUGAUUAUCUGCAAUGUGCAUAUAUUUAUAACAAAACGAAAUAUUAAACAACCCUGCCUCUUUUCGUAUAUAUUUCAAAAAUAUUAAAUGUACUAUCUGUGCUUACUCUGAUUAACUUCACUGUAAUAAAAUGAAAUAGGCUAUAACAUAAAACAAAACCAUGUCUCUUUGUUUUAUGUCAGUUUUAAUGAUCAAUAUAAAAGGUAAGAAUAUACAAUAAGAAAUAAAGCAAACAAUUCAGUCAAGCGUACAAAAUCAGCGCUUUAGUAGGAUACAAAAGUUAAAUAGCCAUAUAUAAAGUUAUGAACAAACGUCACGUUGCCCUCAGCCAAAACGGAGCCAGCGGCAAACGUCAGAAGGACAAGCCGAGAUAAGGCUGCUCUCGGCUGGGUACAUGAGCGCUGAGCGUCCGGUGAUCGCCUGGAUCUCACAACUCCGACAACGUCAGAUCAAAUUGUCAGAAAGGCGCAAUCUGUAUCAAUAAAACACAAAUUUGAGCUUUAAACCAACACAUUCUCGCCUGAAAAACUCUUAAAACUACAUAUCAUGACAUAAAAACAGUAAUAUGUUUAAAUUAUGCGGGGUUUCUCCUUUACUAUUGACGCUUGCUGGUUAGUGCGAGAUGCAUUCUGGGAUACCUGGCUGUCUCAAGUCUGCACCAUAGGUCUGCACAAGUUACCUCUCGAUGCAUCCUCGAUAAAAGGGGCGGAUCAAGAACACAUCCGGGAAUUUGAACUGAACUUGGCUAGAUGUGAACUUUGAAUUGGAACAGUACUUGGACAGCGACUGAUGACGUUUCACAAGUCCACGAGAGCACAAGUACAGACAAGUACGCAUAUUGAGAAACGGCCUCAGUCUAGUCAUGUUUGAGGCCGAUGACGCAUGUGAUUUUCGCUUCUCCUCACAAAAUAUCCUGUGUGUACCAGAGUGGGAGAAGCUGUCGCCCCGUUGCUCCACUGAUUAUUUCUCUUAAUUACAGAUAUUCUUUGCUGAAUCUCAAUAAGUGUUCGUGUGGUCCUUGUGUGAGUGAGAGAGAGACCGGUUCAGACACGCUACAAUUGCACGUUUCAUCAGAAAACACAGAUGAACUGAGGAUUGUGCUGCUGGGAAAAGUUGGGAAAAGUGCAACUGGAAACACAAUCUUAGGAAGAGACGCAUUUACAGCAAAAACAUCUCAUGAGUCAGUGACUAAAGAGAGUCAGAGAGAAACAUCUGAAAUCAACGGCCGACACGUUACUGUGAUCGACACUCCAGGACUGUUUGAUACUGAACUGAGUAAUGAGGAGAUCCAGAGAGAAAUCAGACACUGCAUCUCCAUGAUCCUGCCUGGACCUCAUGUGUUUCUCCUACUGAUUCCUCUGGGACGAUUCACUCAAGAAGAAGCAACAUCAGUGAAGAUCAUCCAAGAGACGUUCGGUGAGAAAUCUCUAAAGUACACCAUGGUGCUCUUCACCAGAGGAGAUGAUCUGAAGAACAAAACCAUUGAACAGUGUUUGGGAAAACCUGGAUCUCCUUUGAUGAACCUGAUUGAAGCGUGUGGAUUCCAUGUGUUCAAUAAUAAUCAGACUGGAGACCGAACACAGGUGUCUGAUCUACUGGAGAAGAUAGACAACAUGGUGACAGCGAACGGAGGGAGUUUCUACUCAUGUAAGAUGUUCAGAGAGAUGGAGAGAGAAAAACAAGAACAACAGAUGAAGAUCCUGAUGGACAGAGACAGAGAAAGAGAAGAGGAGAUGAAGAAACUAGAAGAAGAGAAAGAGAGAAUGAAGAUGAUGGAGGAAGAACAACAGAAUCAAGACAAAAAGAGAAAGAGAAGAGAAGAAGAACUCAAAAGAGAAAUAAGAGAACAAGAGAAACAUCAGAGAGAGAUACGAGACAAGAUGAGAUGAGAACGAGAGACUUUUAGACAUGAAAUAGAGGAAAUGAAGGAAGAAAAGGAGACUGCAGAAAGAAAAGGAAAAACGUCAAAUGGAAAUAGACUGAUGAACAGAAUAGAGAGUGAGAGAAAGAGAAGAGAAGAAGAGUUUAAUGAGAGAGAAGAAUGAUAUAGAAGAAGAAUGAAAGAGAAAGAAGAGAGAGAGGAAAAGAUGUGUGAGAAGAUGAAGAGAGAAAGAGAGGAAUGGGAGAAACAAAAACUAGAGGAAAAAACAAGAAGAGAAGAAGAUAAGAAAAGAAGAGAAGAAGAACAGAGAGUUUGUGAUGAAUUUAACCAGAGACUGAAACGAGAGAGAGAGAAUGAAAAUAGAGAAAGAAGAUCUUCAAUAUAAACAUGAAGCAAAAGAAAACAAGAUGAAGAUCCUGAUGGAGGAGAGAGUGAAGAGACUGAACAGAGAAAGAGAAGAACUGAUGAAGAAACAUGAAGAAAAGAAAGAGAGAAUGAAGAUGAUGAUGAUGAUGGAGAAAGAAUGACAGAAUCAGGACAAAGAGAGAAAGAGAAGAGAUUAAAGGGAGAGAACAAUAUAAAACACGAAUAAAAGAGAAAGAGAGAGAUGUGUGAGGAGAUGAAGAGAGAACGAGAGGAAUGGGAGAAACUGAAACAGCAAAGUCCAACAAACCAUACCAAGUUCGAGAGCUGCUCGAUUCCAGGCACCGGGGUCCGAGGCUCCAGUAUGUGGUGGACUGGGAGGGGUACGGUCCAGAGGAGUGAUCCUGGGUCAACGCGAAAGACAUCCUGGACCCCAAUCUUGUGGAGGAAUUCCAUCGGACACAUCCGGAGAGACCGGCCCCGUGACCUCGUGGAAGACCUCGGCGCCCGCCACCUCGCGUCUGGAGCCGCUCGCAGGGUGGGGGCUCUGUCACGAAUACAGCUCCCCCGGUGCAUCCUCCGGACCACCGGAGGGAGCCGUCUCCCGAAUAUUGACUGUGUACCAUCUGGACUCCAUUACCCAUAGGCCUGCAUUCCUGGGACUGAUUACACAUGCACCUGUACCAUAUCACACUCACACUAUUUAAGACGCUCACACACACACACACUCCAUCGUGAAGUCUUGAUUUGCUGUAGUGAUCAUUUCUGAGUGUUUUCUUGUGGACUGAACUUCUGUUAUUACCUGGACUGCCUAUCUCUGCUGAACCGUCCCGCCGGCCCUGACUCUUGCCUGUUACUGACUCUGUGAUUGUUUGUCGCCUGUCUCCAUCCUUGCCUGUGACCUGUCUCUGAUUCUCUGCUGCCAGCCCCGACCAUUGCCUGUCCCUGUUUACAGUACUGUCUUGCCCUUGUCUGUUACUGCCUUUUAAUAAAGCUGCAAAUGGAU